UCUACCGAAGAACGCAAAGGCUUUUUCUCCUUCUCUCUACCCAAAAACGCAAAGUCCACUGUCAUCGAUUCCACACCAUCUGACUCCAGCCACCCGCCGUCGUCGAUUCCACUCCAGCCGACUCCAGCCACUCGUCGAUUCCACUCCAACAACUGUCGUCGUUGACGCCACAACAAACCUUCGCCAUUGAACCCACCGUCUGGUACAAGAUCUUCCGCCAUCCGAUGCUUUAUUCCAUUCGUGCUUUUUAUUUUUGUUAUGUUAUGCAGGAUUUCACAUUGUGUCAAGAGUUUCUUUAAACAUUGGUGUUUGUAAAGUUGUUUAUCCGGUGUACCGAAACGCGAUCGCUUUAGCUCUACUGUGUCCUUUUGCUCAUUUUCUAGAGAAGAAUGAAAGACCACCUCUUACUUUCUCAUUGCUAUUUCAGUUCUGUCUUCUAGCUUUAUUGUGGAUUAUUGCCAAUCAAGGAUUCUAUCUCUUGGGGCUAAACUAUGCAUUCCUAACUUUUCCUUCUGCAAUGUAAAACUAAGUUCCUGCUAUUACCUUUGUGAUGGCUUCUGUUCUAAGGAACCAACUUUAUCGUGCAUAGGUUUUCAGAAAGCUGAGGAUGGAUUGAACAUUUUAGGAGAUUAAUUCUCGAAUUUAAUCUCAAAUUUCCUAUAACAAAAAAAUAAUAAAAAAUCUCUAAUUGUUUCUUUGGCGGGAGCAUCUAAUUUGCUGAGACUUAAGUUUGAUUAAUAAUAAGUUUGUUUUUGUUUCGAAA